GAUUUACUGUAGCCUGGAAUUGUGUUCGGGCUUCGCUUGCGCAGGAUAGGUGGGAGGCAUUGAAGUAUUCCUUGUGGGAAUAUGGAGCCAACGGUGAGAUACCACUCUGGCGAAGCUAGAAUUCUAACCAUGACCGUAAGCGGUCAGGGAACAGUUUCAGGUGGGCAGUUUGACUGGGGGUCGCCUCCUAAAAGGUAACGGAGGCGCGCAAAGGUUCCCUCAGCACGCUUGGAAACCGUGCGACGAGUGUAAAGGCAUAAAGGGAGCUUGACUGCAAGACCGACAAGUCGAGCAGGUACGAAAGUAGGCUUAGUGAUCGACGGCGCAGAGUGGAAUGGCCGUCGCUCAACGGAUAAAAGUUA
rnacentral:rRNA from 1 species